CAGUCGCCGCGGUAAUACGUAGGGUGCGAGCGUUAAUCGGAAUUACUGGGCGUAAAGCGUGCGCAGGCGGUUCGUUAAGACAGAUGUGAAAUCCCCGGGCUUAACCUGGGGACUGCAUUUGUGACUGGCGAGCUAGAGUAUGGCAGAGGGGGGUAGAAUUCCACGUGUAGCAGUGAAAUGCGUAGAGAUGUGGAGGAAUACCGAUGGCGAAGGCAGCCCCCUGGGCCAAUACUGACGCUCAUGCACGAAAGCGUGGGGAGCAAACAGGAUUAGAUACCCCCGUAGUCCCUGUCUCUUAUAC
rnacentral:rRNA from 1 species